rnacentral:lncRNA from 1 species
ACAUCCUAAACUCUCUAGUCGUCACACUUUACACCCCACCCCACCCCCUUCUCUUCAUCUUCUCCACACACCCCCUCAAAUCCUAAACCACCAAAAUUCAAACCUCUCCAUGGCUGCCCUUCCCGUCUUCUUCCUCAUCACCACCAUCUCCCUCGCUAUGAACAACCACGAGCAACCAUUUCCCCAUCGACCUGCAUCCAAACGACCCCUCCAUCGUCCCUCACGACCACUCCUCCAAACGAUCAUCUCCCAUGGCUGCUCUUUCUUCUUCGUCGAAGCUCCAUCCAUUUCACGUUCAAUAGCUUCUCCAACAGAAACUCACCUCUAUCUCAAGUAGCCAUUAUUGCGGCUUCACCAGUAGCAGCGUACAGUCCGCCUCCAUCAUGUCCGUCCUACACUACCACCCCUCCAUCGAUGAACCCUACUGACCAGACGACCUCCGGCCCCUCAUAGCCUUGUCAACCUCCAGUCCUUCCCGUCUCAACCAGCUGAACAGACACGUAGCGAACACCAUCGGAAAAAACUAGUCACCACCCACUCAAAAUGACCCUUUCACGCCAGUACAGUUCGUGGUCGUCCCGUUGCAGCCUCAGUUCGAGGUCGUUGUUGCGAUUCUGGGCAUAUUCGAGUUAUUUUUUGGUUUCAAAGUUUCUGGGCAGAUUUGUUUCCAUUCGAGUUCGUCGUUUUUUCGAUUUGGUUAGUUGGUUUAAGUUUCAUUUCUGUC